rnacentral:rRNA from 1 species
GAAAGCUUGCUUUCUUGCUGACGAGUGGCGGACGGGUGAGUAAUGCUUGGGAAUCUGGCUUAUGGAGGGGGAUAACGACGGGAAACUGUCGCUAAUACCGCGUAGUGUCGAGAGACGAAAGUGCGGGACUGAGAGGCCGCAUGCCAUAGGAUGAGCCCAAGUGGGAUUAGGUAGUUGGUGGGGUAAAGGCCUACCAAGCCUGCGAUCUCUAGCUGGUCUGAGAGGAUGACCAGCCACACUGGAACUGAGACACGGUCCAGACUCCUACGGGAGGCAGCAGUGGGGAGUAUUGCGCAAUGGGGGGAACCCUGACGCAGCCAUGCCGCGUGAAUGAAGAAGGCCUUCGGGUUGUAAAGUUCUUUCGGUAUUGAGGAAGGUUGAUGUGUUAAUAGCACAUCAAAUUGACGUUAAAUACAGAAGAAGCACCGGCUAACUCCGUGCCAGCAGCCGCGGUAAUACGGAGGGUGCGAGCGUUAAUCGGAAUAACUGGGCGUAAAGGGCACGCGGGCGGUUAUUUAAGUGAGGUGUGAAAGCCCCGGGCUUAACCUGGGAAUUGCAUUUCAGACUGGGUAACUAGAGUACUUUAGGGAGGGGUAGAAUUCCACGUGUAGCGGUGAAAUGCGUAGAGAUGUGGAGGAAUACCGAAGGCGAAGGCAGCCCCUUGGGAAUGUACUGACGCUCAUGUGCGAAAGCGUGGGGAGCAAACAGGAUUAGAUACCCUGGUAGUCCACGCUGUAAACGCUGUCGAUUUGGGGGUUGGGGUUUAACUCUGGCGCCC